rnacentral:rRNA from 1 species
GACGAACGCUGGCGGCGUGCUUAACACAUGCAAGUCGAGCGGUAAGGCCCUUUCGGGGGUACACGAGCGGCGAACGGGUGAGUAACACGUGGGUGACCUGCCCUUAGCUCUGGGAUAAGCCUGGGAAACUGGGUCUAAUACCGGAUAUGACUCCAUGACGCAUGUUGUGGGGUGGAAAGCCUUGUGCGGCUAGGGAUGGGCCCGNGGCCUAUCAGCUUGUUGGUGGGGUGAUGGCCUACCAAGGCGACGACGGGUAGCCGGCCUGAGAGGGCGACCGGCCACACUGGGACUGAGACACGGCCCAGACUCCUACGGGAGGCAGCAGUGGGAAUCUUGCGCAAUGGGCGAAAGCCUG